UUACGGCCACAUCACAUUGAAACACCGGUUCUCGUAUUAUCACUGAAGUUAAGCAACGCCGAGCCUGGCAAGUCCCUAGAUGGGUGACCGUUUAGGAAUCCCAGGUGCUGUAAG